rnacentral:rRNA from 1 species
GUGCCAGCAGCUGCGGCGGCUGGCACGAAGGGGGCUAGCGUUGUUCGGAUUUACUGGGCGUAAAGCGCACGUAGGUGGUGCCGCAAGUCAGGGGUGAAAUCCCAGAGCUCAACUCUGGAACUGCCUUUGAAACUGCGGUGCUGGAAUCUCAGAGGGGGUGGCGGAAUUGCUAAUGUAGGGGUGAAAUCCGUAGAUAUUCGGUGGAACACCAGUGGCGAAGGCGGCUAACUGGACUGAUACUGACGCUGAGGUGCGAAAGUGUGGGGAGCAAACAGGAUUAGAUACCCUGGUAGUCCACACCGUAAACGAUGAGAGCUAGUUGUUGGCAGGCAUGCCUGUCGGUGACGCAGCUAACGCAUUAAGCUCUCCGCCUGGGGAGUACGGCCGCAAAGUUAAAACUCAAAGGAAUUGACGG